AAUUCUCAACUGUCUUUUAGCAUUUAUUGUUAAGGUGAAGUUGGAGUUGGAGGAUAACUGCUGGCGCAACUUAGGUUGCUUGUUGGCUCCUCUUAAAUGGAUGAGCUUUUCUGAUGGAUCAUAGCUCAGUAAUACUAAUGUGAUAAUUAUCUACAUUAGAUGUGAAAGUUAUGAGUAGAGUAACUUCAAUUGUGGAGAAGCUCCUACAGAAAGGAAGUGUUAUUGGGCCCAAUAAUAAACCCAUAACUAAAAAUAUAAUGACA
rnacentral:misc_RNA from 1 species